GCGUUUGUGGUUUAGUGGUAAAAUCCAUCGUUGCCAGUUUCCUCUCUUUCUGAGAAGUCAGAAAAAGGAUAAGAAUCAGUAUCGAUGGGCCCCGGGUUCGAUUCCCGGCGAACGCA